UUUAUGUUACAAUGUCUUUAACAAACUUCCGUUUCUUAUGGUCCUGCCUAUGCCUAAUAGAAAUAAACAUUCGUCUACGGACCAUUUAAAAAAUAAUAAUUGAUGGGUCUAAUUUUGUAGUUUAGCUUAUUAGUUAUUAUAUAGUAGUGGGAAAACGUUUUUAUGUAAUAUAAACUACUUAACAGCUAAUUAAAACUUAAUUUAACAACACGAUAAAAUAUUAGGACAACACCCAUACAAUUCAUUUCUUGUUCCUACCAUAAUAACCACA
rnacentral:lncRNA from 1 species